rnacentral:rRNA from 1 species
ACACAUGCAAGUCGAGCGGAGAUAGUGUGCUUGCACACUAUUUUAGCGGCGAACGGGUGAGUAAUGCCUAGGAAUCUGCCUGGUAGUGGGGGAUAACGUUCGGAAACGGACGCUAAUACCGCAUACGUCCUACGGGAGAAAGCAGGGGACCUUCGGGCCUUGCGCUAUCAGAUGAGCCUAGGUCGGAUUAGCUAGUUGGUGGGGUAAUGGCUCACCAAGGCGACGAUCCGUAACUGGUCUGAGAGGAUGAUCAGUCACACUGGAACUGAGACACGGUCCAGACUCCUACG